GGGGGCGUACAUGGCUUUCGACGGGGGUAUGUUGUGCUACAGAAGCGAGUCGAUGGUUCCCUGGACCAGCGUUAAAAAACUGGGGAUUUAAAUGUAAACGCAGAAGAUAAUUUUGCAUUAGCAGCCUAAUAUAGCUGCUCGUUCUACCUAAGAGUCCCACGACUUAGGAUAGGGCGUCGACUAGUGGGGAACCGCACCUAGGAAAGCUUUGACCUAGGGACGGAAUUUAUGAAGCUACUGAAAUUUCAAUCCUGUCAGUGGGAGUGAAACGUAGGGAAUGUCAAAAUACUGACUGCACUCGGAGAUGCUGUAGUGUUGCUACUUUCGGACAGGGGUUCGAUUCAUGAAAGAGUCGCCUUAUGAAGUGAUUCAUAAGUGAAAACUUGGCUUUAUCGGUGAAACCGUAACAUACUAAGAUGACGGCAAUACCGAGGGGUAUGUAGGGAAAUCUAACAGCCCCGUAUCGACUUAUAGGCUUCUAAGUUCUCUAGGGAGAAUAUGAGGUACUAGGAUAGAAGGUUACAACUAAACUAUACUUCUAUAAUACGCCAAGGGGCUUAAUUGGAAAAUUAAGUUCGAGAUAUAGUCAGCGCUAUUGGAAAACAAUGGAACAAAGUGUCCCCUCGCCUCCACCA
rnacentral:tmRNA from 2 species